UUGAAAGGGAAACGAUUGAAGUCAGUCGUACCAGCGGGAAAUCAACCUUUCGAGUGGGGUUUUGGAGUUUUGAAGAGUGUCAAAACCUUUUGAGAUUUCAAAAUAUUCGCUCUUUUGGUGUACUUUCUCGUGGGUAGGUUAACAUCGAUUUUGAUCAUCAUAAAAAGAUUGGAGGAAUGUAGCUUCGAUCUUGUAUUGAAGUGUUAUAGCCUUUGGUAAAUGUGAUGAUUAGGAUCGAGGAUUGCAACGAAUACCCUUUUGGGCUAUCCGCCUGAUCUCUGAUACGUGGCCUUGGCAUCGAAAGCUUGCUUAUGGUAUCAAGGUAUUACGGUCAAAAGGUUAGAACGGAUUACAUUCGUUAAGGAUGUUGACGUA
rnacentral:rRNA from 1 species